UACGUAGGGUGCGAGCGUUGUCCGGAAUUACUGGGCGUAAAGAGCUCGUAGGUGGUUUGUCGCGUUGUUCGUGAAAACUCACAGCUUAACUGUGGGCGUGCGGGCGAUACGGGCAGACUGGAGUACUGCAGGGGAGACUGGAAUUCCUGGUGUAGCGGUGAAAUGCGCAGAUAUCAGGAGGAACACCGGUGGCGAAGGCGGGUCUCUGGGCCGAUACUGACACUGAGGAGCGAAAGCGUGGGGAGCGAACAGG
rnacentral:rRNA from 1 species